ACUUUUUUCUUUCCCUUCCCCGUCCCUUCUGUCCCAGGGCCAAAAAUUAGAACAAUCUCCUCUUUCUUCCACUCCAACACCUCUGCUACUCUCAUGCCGCUCCAUCUCUAUUCCCAUCUCCGUCUGCAAGCUUCACCUUCGUUCUUCACUUUCUCUUCCUUGCCGUCAGCUUCUUCCAGUAAAAGCUUUUCUAAAAAAUUUCCGCCUUUUCCAUCAUCGUUGAUUCCGUUCUUAUCACCACAUACUUGGCUCUUUGCAUUCCUAGUUACAAGUUCAAAAUAUAUCUCCUUCAUUCCCAUUACCUAUCUACUUCCAUAACCAGCCUCUUUGUCUAGAUUCUUCAUUCUCAGUCGUUCUGAAUUAUAUCUCUGCCUUUCCAGGCCACGCCGCAUUACAUCUUUUCCCUUCUCCACUGUUGCAUGAGUCCAACCCGGCAAAUUUUGGUCCUGAAAAGUUUAAGAACUCUGCUAAAACAAUGAGCAAUUCUUGUGCACCACAGAAACCGACGUUUUAUGCUGAUCUUCCUCAAUCCGUUGAGGAGUUGUUACAGACUAUCUGUGCGAAGCAGAACCAGCCGCCUGUUGUAGGUUAAGACUAGACGUAUACUCGCAUCACUUGCCGAAGUAGAAGCUACUAAUAUCCUGCGCACUAUAUCUACCCAGAAAAUACGGCGCACCCUGGACGGCUUUAUCAUUUACAUGGCCCAAAGGAGUCGUAAUGGUUCCCCCUCUCCUCUGAAAUGCGCACCAAUGAUGCCGUAAUGAUGUCUCAAGACUCACUGGAUAAAAACCGAAACUUUCCUCCAAGUAUUUUAGAUGGAGCAGACGGGCAAAGGCAUAGUGCACAGUUGGUUGCACUGGGAGAACUUGAAUUCAGGAAAGCGUUCCUCUUGCUGAGUUACCUCGGCGAGUAAGUUUGUCUAUCAUUAAUUCCCUCAUGGUUUCUUAAUUUCUUAAACAGAGAGUUAAAAUUUAAAUAAGCAGGAAGAGGCUUGAAGAUGCUAUCUCUGCUGAUGAAAUACGGAAGCUAAAGGAUUUGCCCAUGCAUAAUUUUGAGCUGGAAGUUUGGAAUGCAUUUGGUCAACAAUACAUAAAGAAAGAGGAACGGAAGAAUGUGCUUUUGAUGUUAGUGCUUUGAGAGUUUUUGAUCGUUCGUGAUUAUAAUGACUUCUUUGAUUGGGAUUCUGGUCAAACACAUCUCUAUCGCUGUUAUGUUUCUCAGAAUGGAAGUUGCAGGUUCCAGGUUCCAGGUUCAUAUUUAUUCUUCAUAAUGAGGCAUAUAAUUAGGAUAUGCACCAAGUGCUUGGAUAAAAAAAUGUAUUUAGUUUACUAACAGUAACAGGUCCACCAGAGGACUAAUAAGUCUUUCUAAAGGAGGUACUUUAUUGGUCAUCAUUGCUUAAUAUUGACUAUACCGAUUCAGUGCCUUGUGCAUUUCAUGUGAACCUUAUGCAUAUAAAGGAAGUCUAUUUACAUGGUAUUAACUGAUAGCAAUAGUAACUCGUGCUGAUGCAUGUCUGUCCCAUCUGCAGAAUUAGCUUGCAUAAGCUGAUUUCUCUCUUGCGGGUUAUAUCUGGUGCUUUUAUUCGAGUCCCCUUAAGCUUGUAUGUCUUAAUGUCCCUGCAAUUUAGUUUCUCAAAAAGUUUUGCUGGAUAGAUGAAUAUUCUCUCAUGGUUUUACUAGUGGAUUUCAUGUUCUCUUGCACAUGUUCUUGGUGGUUGUAUUUCAGUUUUCCAGUUUUACUGUGUUUGUGUACUGUGGUUAAUAUCUUACCAUUCCCAUUAAUUUUAUUUUAGGGCCCUUAUUUGGAAAAAACUGCAACUCACAUGCACAGGGUCUUGGGGGAUGACAAUGUCUUGAUGGUUAAGUUUGCAGAAGAAAUGACAAACAAGGAAAAUUCUGCCCUUAGUGUUAAUGAUCUUUAUUUUAAGUACCAUAGGUUUGCAAGUGAAGGAAUUUUUGUUGGUUUGCGUCGCUACCGCUUCUUUGGUUAGUUCUCAUCUCUCUACUGUCAGUGAGUUUGUGUUCUGAUUUCUUGCUUAUUCAUUUAUUCUGCCCGUGGUUGUGUAGUUUUCUCCGAAUGGGUAUAGCUUAAAUCGAAGGACUAUGCAGGUUCUCUAGUUUGAUCAUCUCGCUGAUAGGUGUAAUUGUGUGGGAGGGCUUAUUUUGUACCCAAGGGUGUUAUUGAGAUUUGAUAACUACUUUGGUAGCCUAUGACUCUUUAUGCUGCUUUACCUUUGGUUAAUUCUUCCUUCCAGUCAUCAACAUACCACAGUACAAGCAUGAAUAAAAGUGUUAUUGUCUAUUUAUCUAGUUAGGAGUCAGUUCUCUGACCUGCCAUAUAACCAUUAUAAGUUUGGGAAUAUCAUCAGGAUCUUAUUCUUAUGCACUGUGUACAUAUGCAAGAACAAUCUUCUGCUUUAUUCUUCUUCUUGUUUUGGUUUGCCAUCCUACUUUAUAAGUUAACACAAAAUUCUCUUGGAGUUUGUCUUUUAGGAGCUCUUGUAGGGAGAUCUACUGCACGAUUGAGAUCUGAACUUUCAUCUAUAGUACAUCCAGGAAGCAGGGUUAAGUGUGAAUAAAAUCCAUCUUUGGUCUAUUAGUGCAUAUCUCUAAAAGUGAAAUUUUAUAUCAUGCUUCCAUAAUUAGAUGUCAAAUUGUAUGCCACAAGGUUGCAAUCUUAUUGUCUGUUUAAGAACAUAAAGCAAUAUUUUAUCUUAAUAUAUCCAACAAUCAGUGUUUAAAGAUGGCGGAAAGGAGGAAAAGAAGAAAGAUUCAACUACGUCAUCAGUCAAGUGUUAUUUUGUCCACAUGGAGUCCAAGGCAUUUACUGAUAAGGAUCAAGAGUAUAUUUUAUCUGGGAAGACAAUUCAGGAAGCUAGAUCUAUUUUCAUGCAUGUCCAUGGCUUACCAAACAUUGCCAAAUAUAUGGCAAGGUUAGUAAACAUUAACUUCUUCUUCCAUCCAUUUGCUUUCCCCUGCUCUUCCUCCUUGGGACUCAUACAAAGAACAUUUGUAAAAGAGCCAUUCUCUAUUGGGCAUUCAGGUUUUCACUUGUUUUGUCAAGAACUAUAAAGGCACCAGUUGAUUUAGGGGAUGUAAAUAUUGAGAGGAUAAAUGAUAUAGAAUGCUAGGUAAAUGUAGACCGUGGUUUAAUGUUGAAUUGUUACUUAGUACACAGCUUAUGUAUACCUUCUGGUAAAAUUUCUAUUACAAUACCUCUUAUUUCUAUUGUCUUUAUAAAA